rnacentral:misc_RNA from 1 species
GAUGAAGAACGCAGCGAAAUGCGAUAAGUAAUGCGAAUUGCAGAAUCCGUGAGUCAUCGAAUCUUUGAACGCACAUUGCGCCCUUUGGCAUUCCGAAGGGCAUACCUGUUCGAGCGUCAUUGCACCUCUCAAGCACAGCUUGGUGUUGGGCGCCUGUCCCCGCGUUUGCGCGGUGGACUCGCCUGAAAAGCAUCGGCGUCCGGCGGCUGGUCUUGCGCGUAGCAGAUUGUUCGCACAAGGACCGGGCCGCGGGGCUGCCGCACACGUCUUUGAUUCUUAGUUUGACCUCGGAUCAGGUAGGGAUACCCGCUGAACUUAAGCAUAUCAAUAAGCGGAGGA